GAUGAACGCUAGCUACAGGUCUUAACACAUGCAAGUCGAGGGGCAGCAUGGUCUUAGCUUGCUAAGGCCGAUGGCGACCGGCGCACGGGUGAGUAACACGUAUCCAACCUGCCGUCUACUCUUGGACAGCCUUCUGAAAGGAAGAUUAAUACAAGAUGGCAUCAUGAGUCCACAUGUUCACAUGAUUAAAGGUAUUCCGGUAGACGAUGGGGAUGCGUUCCAUUAGAUAGUAGGCGGGGUAACGGCCCACCUAGUCUUCGAUGGAUAGGGGUUCUGAGAGGAAGGUCCCCCACAUUGGAACUGAGACACGGUCCAAACUCCUACGGGAGGCAGCAGUGAGGAAUAUUGGUCAAUGGGCGAGAGCCUGAACCAGCCAAGUAGCGUGAAGGAUGACUGCCCUAUGGGUUGUAAACUUCUUUUAUAAAGGAAUAAAGUCGGGUAUGCAUACCCGUUUGCAUGUACUUUAUGAAUAAGGAUCGGCUAACUCCGUGCCAGCAGCCGCGGUAAUACGGAGGAUCCGAGCGUUAUCCGGAUUUAUUGGGUUUAAAGGGAGCGUAGAUGGAUGUUUAAGUCAGUUGUGAAAGUUUGCGGCUCAACCGUAAAAUUGCAGUUGAUACUGGAUAUCUUGAGUGCAGUUGAGGCAGGCGGAAUUCGUGGUGUAGCGGUGAAAUGCUUAGAUAUCACGAAGAACUCCGAUUGCGAAGGCAGCCUGCUAAGCUGCAACUGACAUUGAGGCUCGAAAGUGUGGGUAUCAAACAGG
rnacentral:rRNA from 1 species